rnacentral:lncRNA from 1 species
UAAUAUCAAAAAAAUUUGCCACUUUGGUGGUUUAAGAGUACUUAAUCCUGUUACUUUCGUACGGGUGAGAAAGGCAAAAGAACAUUAAAUGAUGAUAUUUCCAAGAGUGAAAGAAACCCACUACUCUAGCAUAAACUUGAGAACCGCAUCUUCUUGGUCAGAGGAAGUUUUUCCAGUGAUUUGGUUUUUGGAUUUGAGGCAUGCAGUUCAAUUGUUGGAGCUCUAAUGAUGGGGGUUUAAUUGUGGGUUGAAUCAGUAGGAUAAGAUUUGAUGCAAUUAUUUUAAGGGGUAAAGGAGGGACAUGGUUUGCAGUUUGUUGGUAGGUGGAGAAGAGAUAAUUGAGGAUCCGGUUAGCAUGAAGUUUAAUUUUUGGUAAGAUCAACUUACCCAAAAAUAAACUUCAUGCUAACCAUCUCCAAUAAUUGAAUUAGCCUGUCCUUCAAUGAUCAAUCACUCAUUAUUGUUCCCUGGUGUUUUAACUGCUGUAACUUUUAUACUAGUAAUUGACAUCACAAGAUUUUUG